rnacentral:rRNA from 1 species
AUCGCAGAUCAGAAUGCUGCGGUGAAGGCGUUCCCGGGUCUUGUACACACCGCCCGUCACACCACGGGAGUGGGGGACGCCCGAAGCCGAUUAUCUAACCUUUUGGAAGAAGUCGUCGAAGGUGGAAGCAAUAACUGGGGUGAAGUCGUAACAAGGUAGCCGUAUCGGAAGGUGCGGCUGGAUCACCUCCUUGCUAAGGAGA